ACUGAUUACAUAUAUGUAUAUUACCGAUUGUAAAAACAAUAACCGAUCAAAUAAUAUAGUAUAAGGAUUUAAAUUAACCUGUAGAUGGCGCUGAUGUCGUUUAUCGUAAUUAGGCGCUCUUAUUUUAUUCGUCAAAAUCACGUUAUGCUUUUCCUUUUUAUGAUUUAAAAUGUUGAUUCAGGCAUCGUUAGACAAUAUACUAGCUCGCAUGCGCAGUACGUUGCACCAUAAUAUUAAGACCGGAUAUCACAGGGUUUGGAGCUGUCUCUGUGUUCUCUACGUAAGAAGCACUAGGUGUAUGGGUACCUCCCAAUAAUUGAGUACAAUAAUGCGCAUAGUGCAUAGA